CUCAUCUUUCAAGUCAGCCAGUUGUUUUUGUUUUGGUCUGCCAGUAACCAGAGUCUGAUCCAAGAGAGGGCACCAGACGUCAAGUGGACGCACAGUUUCUUACACUGUGAAAGUCAAGCAACAAAGCAGAUGUCACCAGAACUGCAUGAAGUCAUGCAGUCAAAGUGCUCCUCAGAGAAGCGGGUGAAACAGGGCUGCCGAUCAACACACAACCAGGCGGCAUCCAACAAGCUGAGUUUUACUAAGGGGCAUCACACCAGAAAACAUCAUAUUUUGAUGUUUUAUCUGAAGGACUUGCUUGGAUGAAGAGAUGAGGGCAAACUCUGCAGAGAGAGCUGGAGAGGAGAGAUCUUCACUAGAGUGAAGUGGACUUCAGCUCAGCCGUGGCUCUGCACUGAAACCUCAUACUGGAUUAUAAAAUAUUAGUUACACAUGGUUUACCCAGUUAAAUCAUUUUAUUAUUUCCUCUGCUCGCACAUGUGAUGUCAACAGUCCUGAAAACUGAAAAUCAAAUAUUUAAAAUAAUCUUAAUAUGACUGAUAGGCAGCAACAAACCAUUAGAAUCCCUAAACACUACACACUGGGCUGGAAGCUUGGCAUUGGUAAUGGCUUGAUCCUUGACACUGUAUGAUUUCAUCUCUCAAUUUUCAACACCAGCAGACCCAGAAUGUAACAGACUUGGUCCAACUUGGUCCAAUCAGUAGUCACGCCUAUAUAUGAUGAACCCAGCAAACAACAUGUGUGUCUCAUUUAUAUUGCAUUUCCAUGGCAUUUUGUUGACAUACUUUAAGUUUCUCAUAUAGUCUUUGACCUAUUCGUGAACAUUAACCUGAUUUGACGCAUAACUUUUUUUUAAUCUACAUGAACUCAUUUGUAUUCAUUUCUGCCCUUUCCAGCACAAACAUCCUCCCACCACUAUUUGCAGUUAUACCUCAUGCUGUCAGGUGAUAGGAGGUUUAGGACUUUCCUCUGCUAUACUGAGGCAGUGAAGGUUUUUCUGAUGAGUUGUGGUGCAGGGGAGAGGAGGUGGAGACCUGCCAGUUAGAUCAGAUAUGAAAACUAACCUGUAGUCCAUUUUUACCUUCAUUUUAACUGCAAUGUUGUGAGGACAGUCAUCACUACAAUAAAACACUGAACUGUAAAACUGUCAAAGACAAGAGUUGGCUUCUCACAGAGUACCAGGAGCGUAACAGCAUGCCAAAGACUGUGGGCUGAGCCAACCACAGGAACUGCCAGCUCCAGUCUGCCACUGACUCUCUUCACUCACUGGACUCAGUUAAUCUAUCCUGCUGCAUACUGUGCAGGUUAGAUUUCUUUGUUUGUUUUGG